rnacentral:lncRNA from 1 species
AAUCAGUUAACUUCAAAUGAUGUCACAAUAAUUGGUCAAUAGCUAAAUGACAUCAUUUAUUUAUAUUGUAUCAUACACUUUUAGUUUGAACAUCAGUAUGCUUGAUAUAUUAUGUAUAAUGCAUUUAUGUCAGCAUAUUGUCACUUUGAUUAUGCCUUUGAGACCCAGGCUUAACAUCAGCUUAUUCAAACUGUAUAUUAUGUCAGUCAGUGAACUUAUUAAAUCUCAUAAAUCACCUAAAAACCAAUAAAAAGAGCAAAAUCACAUAAAAAUGAAUAAAAUAAUGAUCAAAAAAUAUCCAAAUAGUUU